rnacentral:rRNA from 1 species
UACGUAGGGGGCGAGCGUUGUCCGGAUUUAUUGGGCGUAAAGAGCUCGUAGGCGGUUUGGCAAGUCGGGUGUGAAAACUCCGGGCUCAACUCGGAGACGCCACUCGAUACUGCCAUGACUCGAGUCCGGUAGGGGAGUGCGGAAUUCCUGGUGUAGCGGUGAAAUGCGCAGAUAUCAGGAGGAACACCGGUGGCGAAGGCGGCACUCUGGGCCGAUACUGACGCUGAGGAGCGAAAGCGUGGGGAGCGAACAGG